UUAAAAACCCAUUUGAACUCUGAACAAGCCUGAUCCCUUCUGAUCUCGGAAGCUAAGCAGGGUCGGGCCUGGUUAGUACUUGGAAGGGAGACCACCUAGGAAGACCCGGUGCUGUAGGCA
rnacentral:rRNA from 1 species